rnacentral:rRNA from 1 species
GUAGGGAAUAUUGCACAAUGGGGGAAACCCUGAUGCAGCGACGCCGCGUGAGUGAUGAAGGCCUUCGGGUCGUAAAGCUCUGUCGUAUGGGACUAACAAAAUGAAGGUACCAUGCAAGAAAGGAUCGGCUAACUUCGUGCCAGCAGCCGCGGUAAGACGAGGGAUCCUAGCGUUGUUCGGAAUUAUUGGGCGUAAAGCGGGUGUAGGCGGAUUUAUAAGUCAGGUGUGAAAUCCCAGGGCUCAACCCUGGAAGUGCACUUGAUACUGUAAGUCUUGAGUGUGGUAGAUGCUAUUAGAAUUCUUGGUGUAGUGGUGAAAUACGUAGAUAUCAAGAGGAAUACCGGAGGCGAAGGCGGAUAGCUGGUCCAACACUGACGCUGAGACCCGAAAGCGUGGGGAUCAAACAGGAUUAGAUACCCGGGUAGUCC